rnacentral:lncRNA from 1 species
CUUUAUCUCAAAAUGAUUUAAGCAAUGAAACGGACAAGUGGAAAGUCCAGAGGUAGGAGGGAGUUUAGGUGUGCUUUGAUCAGGAGUUCCUCAUUUUCAAGAGGGGCGGGGGUCUGUUUCUGGGAUGUGUUGGUCCAUUCUCAGGUAAACUUUCUUUACAGUAGCAGGAUGGCUAUAGCGGCUUCAGCUUUUACAUUACAAUGGGAAGAGAAGAGGCACCUUCGUCCUGACAUGUACUUGGAUGGGCCACAUGCUCAUGACAGGUAACAAGUCCUGCCCAAAUAUAGUGCCGGGCCCUGGGAGAGAGCCUUUUAAGGAAGCUGUGGUGUGUUACCCACCAAGAAUACGAGCCGGACCUGAAACAGCGCCCGACAGGUGGUGGACUCUCAGUAAGUAUCCGGUGAGUAAAUAAUCUAGUGGAGGG